UGCAAGUCGAGGGGCAGCACGAGGUAGCAAUACUUUGGUGGCGACCGGCGCACGGGUGCGUAACGCGUAUGCAACCUACCUUUAACAGGGGCAUAACACUGAGAAAUUGGUACUAAUACCCCAUAAUAUUUCAGAAGGCAUCUUUUGAGGUUGAAAACUCCGGUGGUUAUGGAUGGGCAUGCGUUGUAUUAGCUGGUUGGUGAGGUAACGGCUCACCAAGGCAACGAUACAUAGGGGGACUGAGAGGUUAACCCCCACAUUGGUACUGAGACACGGACCAAACUCC
rnacentral:rRNA from 1 species